UACGUAGGGUGCGAGCGUUGAUCGGAAUUACUGGGCGUAAAGCGUGCGCAGGCGGUUAUGCAAGACAGAUGUGAAAUCCCCGGGCUCAACCUGGGAACUGCAUUUGUGACUGCAUAGCUAGAGUACGGUAGAGGGGGAUGGAAUUCCGCGUGUAGCAGUGAAAUGCGUAGAUAUGCGGAGGAACACCGAUGGCGAAGGCAAUCCCCUGGACCUGUACUGACGCUCAUGCACGAAAGCGUGGGGAGCAAACAGG
rnacentral:rRNA from 1 species